ensembl:lncRNA
CUUCAGCCUGACUCGAAUUCUGUAGCUGAUAACAGAAAGGAAAGAGGUUUUCUUAGAAAGAAGCCAUGCUGGUCUAGCCUCAGUUCACAGGAGUGUAUAACAUCGUGUCUCCCAUCACAAGACCCCCAUCAGCCUGAGCCCUGAAGGCAAGAAAAGAGAUGAUCCGUCACCAGAGGGAGGGGGAACAGGCAUGGCCUGUGCUUCCCAACAAAACAGCCAUUCCCGGGAAUAAGAGCUUCUCAUGGGGACAGGACACACAUUUAACUGUAUUAACAACAAAGCAGGGCUUCCCCGGCAGCCUAGUUUAAGAAUCCCCCGGCCAAUGCAGGGGACAGGGGUUCAAUCUCUGAUCUGGAAAGAUCCCACAAGGAGUGGAGCAGCUGAGCCUGUGCAUCACAAGUACUGAGCCAAUGUUCUAGAGACCACGAGCCACAGCUACUAAGCACACACACCGCAGCUACUGAGCACACAGACCACAGCUACUGAGCUCACACCACAGGUACUGAGCUCACAGACCACAGGUACUGAGCUCACACAUCACAGGUACUGAGCUCACACACCACAGGUACUGAGCGCACACACCACAGGUACUGAGUGCACACACCACAGCUACUGAGCGCACACACUGCAACUACUGAGCACACACACCACAGGUACUGAGCUCACACACCACAGGUACUGAGCUCACACAGUGCAGCUACUGAGUGCACACACCACAGCUACUGAGCACACACACUGCAACUACUGAGUGCACACACCACAGCUACUGAGGGCACACACCACAGCUACUGAGCGCACACACCACAGCUGCUGAGCACACAUACCACAGCUACUGAGCUCACACACCACAGCUACUGAGCACACACACCACAGGUACUGAGCUCACACCUCCCACAGGUACUGAGUGCACACACCACAGCUACUGAGCAC